rnacentral:lncRNA from 10 species
CCUGCAAGUGCAUAGAAGUCAAAAAUUGAGGUUUGGGAUCCUCUGCCUAGAUUUCAGAGGGUGUAUAGAAAUGCCUGAUGUCCAGGCAGAAGUCUGCUGUAGGGGCAGGGCUCUCAUGGAGAACCUCUGCUAAGACAGUGCAGAAGGGAAAUGUGUGGUCAGAGCCCCCACACAGAGUCCUUUCCUGGGGCACUGCCUAGUGGAGCUGUGAGAAGAGGGCCACCAUCCUCCAGACCCCAGAAUGGUAGAUCCACCUACAGCUUGCAAAUUGUGCACCUGGAAAAGCCACAGACACUCAAUGCCAGCCCACUAAAGCAGCCAAGAGGGAGACUAUACCCUUCAAAGCCACAGGGGCUAAGUUACCUAAGACCAUGGGAACCCACCUCUUGCAUAAAUGUGAUCUGGAUGUGAGACCUAGCAUCAAAGGAAAUCAUUUUGGGGCUUUAAGAUUUGACUGCCCCAUUGGAUUUCAGACUUGCACGAGGCCUGUAGCCCCUUCAUUUCAGCCAAUUUCUCCCAUUUGGAAUGGCUGUAUUUACCCAAUGAUUGUAUCCCCACUGUAUCUAGGAAGUAACUAACUUGCUUUUGAUUUUACAGGCUCAUAGGCAGAAGGGACUUGCCUUGUCUCAGAUGAGACUUUGGACUGUAGACUUUUGAAUUAAUCCUGACAUGAGUUAAGACUUUGAGGGACUGUUGGGAAAUCAUAACUGGUUUUGAUAUGUGAGGACAUAAGAUUUGGAGGGGCCAUGGGUGGAAUGAUAUGGUUUGGCUUUGUCCCCACCCAAAUCUCAUCUUGAAUUGUAACUCCCACAAUUCCCACAUGUCAUGGGAGGAACCCAGUAGGAGGUAACUGAAUUAUGGGGGUGGGUCUUUUCCCGAGGUUUUAAAAAAACGGGAGGUUCACUGCACAAGCUCUCUCUCUUGCCUGCUACCAUCCAUGUAAGAUGUGACUUGCUCCUCCUUGCCUUCUGCCAUGAUUGUGAGGCCUUCCCAGCCAUGUGGAACUGUAAGUUCAUUAAACCUCUUUCUUUUGUAAAUUGCCCAGUCUUGGGUAUGCCUUUAUCAGCAACAUGAAAAUGGAUGAAUACACCUUGCUUUCCAAAGAAAACAUUGUUUCAACCAAAUCCCACUCCUACCAUCAAUUGUUGUGAGGAUUGUGUGUCCUCCUUCCUUAGUUCAGAGUCCUCCAAAAGAAGACACUGAGACCAGGUUUCAAGGGUAAGUAGAUUGUCUUGGAGGUGACGUCAGAAACCACUGAUGGAGAAGUGACAAAUGAGACAGAAAGGGAAGGAAUUGAUGACAGGGAAUCUCAGGUGAAAAAAACCUCAGGACUAUCCCACCCAAAUAGCAUGGAAGAGUGAGUAUCAUAUAGCAACUCCCUGAAAGAGUUGUGAACUCCCUUCCAUUUCUGCCCUGCUGGAUGGGAAGAAAAGCGGGUCCUGGUAGCUAAGGAAAUCCCUCAGGCAAGAAGAUAUGUGUGCUGCCAACUGGAAGUUGGGCCAGAGAACAUGGAAGUGGUGAAGGCAGGGCAUAGACAGCAUCCACAGCUCAUAUCCAGUCAUUCUCUCAAAGGGACUUCCAUCACAAGAUCUUAUCUAGUGCAGUUUAUUAGAAAAGCAUAUGAAAAGGCUUUCAAAUUAUUAAUAAGAAUUCUUAUAGAAAUGUUCAUCUGUGUCAGGCACCAUAUUUCUGGCUGGGUGAACAUAGAUGUCCUUUACUAUCAAAUUCCAUGGGGCCCAUGAGAAGAGAAUGCAGGACCAGCCAGAUGGCUCAUGCCCAUUGCCAUUUUUACUUUGCUUCUAUGUUACAAGCUGACAAUUUUGCUCUGUGUGUACUGUAAAAUAGCAGACAUUUUCCAAAUUUUGCUCUGGCUUACACUGUUCCUUUUUGCUUUUUCAUUUAUCUUUCUUGUACCCAUAGUUAAAAAAAAAAAAAGCAUUUCACAGAGGUAAGGUUAAGGCUAGAGGCUUAUGUGGUCAGAACAUUUGAGCUCUUCUUGUAAAGGUUCAAGUGAACCUUGUCCUUCCCCAUCUCUGCUUCCUCAGGAAUGAGUUUUCAAAUAUUUCAUUCCAUUUCACUAAAAUCUAGCAAGGCUGGGUCAAGGGCCAAAUAUCUUUGUUCUAAUUCCCGCUCUGCAAAUGAGUACGCAAGUCUCCCCCACCUGCUGACAGAGUCAUCAUAUAGCACAGUGGCAAUGGCUGGCCAUAGACAUUAUCACAGAUAUCACAUUGGAAAUAUUUGUGAAUGACAAUGGGUCAGAUGCCUCAGAUAAAGCUAUCGCAAAAGAUGUAAUCACUGUAGCUAUUAGACUGACAGAAGAAAAUCUAUCAGAGCAAUUCCAAGGAUGCAACUGUGAAGGAUAAGUUGUUCUUCUGGGAAUGUGAGUGUCCCUUGCAGGAACACUGAUGGAGAAUCUCAAAGCCCUGAAGCCCUUAGGGGAUUCAAAGGUUUGAGUUGGCUUCAGCAGCAGCACCACAGGGUAGGCAGAUGUGGGAGGAUGGAAGUUCUUCCUGGGAGCAAGUGAACAGGGGUGAACAAUUUCAGAACUACAGUCUGAGAUCUCACUGAAAAAGCCAUUCAUCCAGAAGACAGGAAAUCAAGAACAGGUCUAGGAUACAGAAAAACUGGGGUCAGUUGGUAAAGAUGGUGGCCAUAGCCCUUAAUCCUCUGAUCCUAUUUUUCACAUAUUUUUCAAUGUUGAGCUUUGUUUCAUUUAUAACUUUUUUUUUUUAAGAUACAGGUAAGGGGCUCACUCUCUCACCCAGAUUGGAAUGCAGUAGUGUGAUCUCAGCUCACUGAGCCUCGACCUCCUAGGCUCAAGCAAUCCUCCCACUUCAGCAUCCUGAGUAACUGGGACUACAUGCACGCACCAUUACACCUGGUUAAUUUUUAUAUUUUUUUUUAUAGAGACGGGACUUUGCCAUGUUGCCUGGGCUGGUCUGAAACUCCUGGCCUGAAGUGACCCACUUGCCUCAGCCUCCCAAAGUGGUGGGAUUAUAGGCUUGAGCCACUACACCCGGCCCACAACUAACCUUUCUUGAGCACUACCUAGGUGUAGGGACCAGUCUCAAUGCUUUGCUUGCAUUAAUACAUGUAAUCCUCACUAUGCUAUGAUUCUGGUAUUAUUAUCAUCCCAUUUUACAAAUGAGAAAAAUUGGAUGCAAUUAAGGUUGUAAAUCUUUCCCAAUGAGUGAAUGGGCAAACAAGGAGGAGAAUGCAGGCCAUUUGUAUUGAAUUGUACCAUGUGCUUCCUCCAUGCAGGCAGGUGGAAGGGGACGAAUAGAAAGGGAAGCAGGAGGAUGUGUGGUGCUAUGGGCACCUUUGCAUGGGAACAGAGCAUCUUGAGUGGGUGGUUUCAACUCAGAAAAGGAAGGCAGGCUACAUGGGAGGAUAAGAAGAAUUGAUAAGAGAGACAACUCAGUACUUCACUGUAGGUGAAGAAAAGGAAGAGUGGCUGAACUCAGAGUAGUGGCAGAGCAAUGAGGAGAGAAAGUUUGGAGAGAAGGGAUCCUGUGUCUUAGGGAGAAAGAAUUUAAGGAAUUUGAUGACUAGGAGGUGAUUCCACCCACCCCUGACCAGACGUCCACUGCCACUCUCUGGUGGUACCUGGUUGUGUUAAUUCUUCCCAGUGGGAAAACCUGUAGAGUGCUGCCUUCUCUGUGGGUGUGCUGGCUCUGAUCACUGCCUCCUCUCUUCCUGCAGCUCAUGGGGACCCAGCUGUGAUGGCAGUGCUGAUCCACAACCCAACAGUAUGGGCUUUCUCCACCCACACUCUUUCUGGGUAAUUGCUAGGGAAGAUUCACAUCACUUCAGGAUUCUUCAAUGGACCCACUUAAACAUGAGUUAAGUAACUACCUAUGGAAGCAUUCAUUUGUUGUGUGCUUCCUGGAUAUCAGGCACCAUGACUAGCACUGUGCAGGCCCUCUCUUGCUUCUUAAUUCUCACAGCAAACCUUAAAAAAGUAUAUUACAAUCCCUGUAUUGAUAAUGAAGAAACCAAGAUGCAGAGAGGUUAAAUAGUUAUUCAUCUGUCAUUCAGCUUGGAAGUGCCAGAGAGGCAAUGAUUGACUUGUGUCUAGAGCCUACUACCUGGAAGGCCAGACCAAACCCCCUGUGUCACCAGCAACUCAUGCCUUGCACACCAUGCACCAAGAAGUGUAUCCUUCAUCCAUCUGUUCAUAUUAAUUCCAUAUUUUCUGACUUCUUCUCUGGGAAGAACCUGUACUAGGCCCUGGAGAAUCAAAGAUGAAAGAGAUACAGCUCCACUUAUGAAUGGCAUGAGGAUCUCUGAUGUUCAAAGAGUGGACAAGAAAAAGAAACCUAAGAGGCUUGGAAGAGAGGACAACAUCUUACUCUUUUGCCCUGGCUGGAGUGCAGUGGUGUGAUCAUGGCUCACUGUUGCCUUGAACUCCUAAGCUCAAGAAAUCUUCCUGUCUUAGCAGCCUGAGUAGCUGGGACCAUAGGAUGAUAUAAAGUACAUGAAGCAAAAAGAUGACAUCAUCUAAUCGUGUUACUGUGAGCAGAGAAGAAUUCAAAUUCAGGCAUCCAGGGUAACCAAUUUUAUGGGACACAUGUGACUCAGCCUUAGCCUCCUUCUCUACAAUUACAUUUCCCCACCUGGGAUUUCACAGAUCAGCAGUAAACAAACUCCAAGUUUCAUUUCCGUAAAGUGACAGAAGAUGGGUCCCCUGAGUGAAGACGGCCUUCUACCCUUCAUCUGAGAAAUUUAAACCAGUAGAUUUGAUAAUAAAUGUUAAGGGUAUUCAAUUAACAUACAAAGUGGCAGCUGGAAAGGGCACCGCAGACAGAUGUCUGGCUAGAGUCAGUUCUGUGCCCAGGAGAGACAAAGUAGCUAAUAAAUGCUGUUCUCUAUUUAUGUGUUGACUUCUGAGACACUCCACUUUGAGUGUUUUCUUGGUAAAGAGUUCAUCUGAUCUCAAGAACCCACCCCCCAAGGAGGGAAAGUCCAUUGUCUUUGCCUUAGAUUGGCAGGUAGAGUAAAUGAAAAAUUAAGAAAUUAUGUGAAUUCCCCCAAAGAGAAGAGAAGGGCUAGAGUGACUAUUUUAUGUUACGUGGAGAUGAGGGUGUGCUUAUUCUUUCAGCUGACAUAAUCUAUUAACAUAUGUAAAAUGCUUAUAAAGAGUCUCCAGCACAUGUUAAGUGCUGAAUAACACAGCCACCACCACCACCAGCAUCACAUACUAUUGACAGGCAUUGUACUAACUUCCUGGGAUUCAAACAUUAAACAUACAUAUUAAACAUAUGUACAAAUAAAACACCUCUAUGUGUUCAAAAAAUACACGUAUACAAAUGAAUAAGUCCAAUAGACUUCUGUGAAAAGUGAAUCUACAAAGACUCACAUAAAAUCAUGGUUAUGGCUGGUAGACUAGCAGGUUAAGUGAAGGAGGUCUUCAAGGAAGAGUUAGCACAAUCUAGGAACUGUUCACCAAGCAGGUAAGAGAAAAAGACCUUCACAAACACGGAAGAAACAAACACACCCUGGUAAACUUGGGGAAUUAUAAGAAGCCCAGUUUGACUGUUGACUCUGAUGUGAUGAGUUAAGGGAAAGAAAUGAGGCUAGGAGGAGGUAAACUUGUGGGCUCACUUUGUGGAAGUCUUUGCUGCCCUACUAAGGAAUUGGAGCUGUAUGUCAUAGAAAUCCAUUUGACAAUUUCAAGGGGGCCAUGUUACAGGAUCUCUAAAGAUAGCAUGCCCUUCAAUUUGCAAAAACACAUGCCAUUUAAACUCCCUGUGCUGACUUCCUCACUAAUAGAGUGAAGGUUAUUAUGGAUGGAAGGAGUAACAUGAUAGAAGCAAAAGCAACGCUAAAACAUUACAGGGAUGUAUGAUAUACUAGUUUAUUUUCACACUACUAUAAAGAACUACCUGAGACUGGGUACGUUAUAAAGAAAAGAGGUUUAAUUGACUCACAGUUCCACAUAGCUGGGGAGGCCUCAGGAAACUUACAAUCAUGGAGAAAGGCCAAGGGGAAGAAAGGCAUGUCUUACAUGGCAGCCAGGGAGAGAGAGCAAGGAUGAAAUCAUCAAAUCUAGUGAGAACUCACUAUCCCGAGAACAGCUGAGGGAAAUCCAACCCCAAUGAUCCAGUCAUCUCCCAACAGGUCCCUCCCCUGACACAUGUGGAUUAAAAUUCUACAUGAGAUUUGGGUGGGGACAAAGAACCAAACCGUAUCAAGGGAAAUCACAGAAUUUUGUGUUGUCAUCAAAAAUUUGAAAAAAGCAGGGUGGAGGUGAGUCUUAUCACAUCUCCAUUUAACUUGCCUGUCUGAUUCUUAUAGAAGUUGGAUGGGUUUCAGACACAGCCAAUGGAUUAUUGCAAACAAAACAGAGUUGACUCCAAAAUUGCUAUAGCUAUUCCAGCUGUAGUCAUUUUACUGGAUCAAAUAAACACAGCUUAGGAACGUAGUAUGGAAUUACUCAAAAAAAUUAUUUACUUCUAUCCCAGGGAUCCACAAGCAAUACCCAUGGGUAAAAUCUGAUCCUCAGUUUUUAUAAAUAAAGUUUUAUUGGAACACAAUCAUGCCCAUUCCCUAACAUAUUGCCUAUGGCUACUUUUAUGCCACAGUGACAGAGUUGAAUAGCUGCAAGAAAGAUUGUGGCUCACAAAGCUUAAACUAUUUAGUAUCUAGCUCUUUUUAGAAAAAGUUUGUUGACACCUGCCCUAUCAUAAUGAAGACGAGAAGCAGGCUGCUUUCACGUAGCAUAAACAUCAGUAUACCUCUCCUGAAACUAUCCCAGGCCAUGAUAACUCUUAUGUGCUCUUCAAAACUCAGUCCACAGAAUUUUGAUCAUUUUAAUAUGCCACAGAACAUCUUACUGGUCCACAUACACAUUUGGUUUCUUGCUGAUAGGAUCUGGUGAUCAGAAAAUAGAAAGUGCCUCUGAAAGAGAAAACCUGCAUGAUCUUGCUUGUUUAUAGAUUAUAAGUGUCAAACUCUUAUAAGCAAGUUGAAUGGUGGUUACUAGAGGCUGGGCUAGGGGUGGAGGGGAAGACCGGGGAGAUGUUAGUCCAAGAAUACAAUAUUUCAGAUCAACCAGAGAAAAAGGUUCAGGAUAACUAUAUUAUACAAUACAGGGACUAUGGUUAAUAAUAAUAAUGUAACAUACUUGAAAAUUGUGAAGAGAGUAGACUUUAAGUGUUUUCACCAUAAAAAACAUUUUUAAGGUAAUGGAUAUGUUAAUGAGUUUGAUUUAGUCAUUACACAAUGUAUACACUUAUCAAAACAUUAUAUUGUAUGCCAUAAAUGUAUACAACUUUUGUCAAUUAAAA